AGAGUUUGAUCCUGGCUCAGGACGAACGCUGGCGGCGUGCUUAACACAUGCAAGUCGAGCGGAAAGGCCCUUCGGGGUACUCGAGCGGCGAACGGGUGAGUAACACGUGAGUAACCUGCCCCUGACUCUGGGAUAAGCCCGGGAAACUGGGUCUAAUACCGGAUAUGACACCUCCUCGCAUGGGGUGGGUGUGGAAAGUUUUUCGGUUGGGGAUGGACUCGCGGCCUAUCAGCUUGUUGGUGGGGUAAUGGCCUACCAAGGCGACGACGGGUAGCCGGCCUGAGAGGGCGACCGGCCACACUGGGACUGAGACACGGCCCAGACUCCUACGGGAGGCAGCAGUGGGGAAUAUUGCGCAAUGGGCGAAAGCCUGACGCAGCGACGCCGCGUGGGGGAUGACGGCCUUCGGGUUGUAAACCUCUUUCAGCAGGGACGAAGUUGACGUGUACCUGCAGAAGAAGCGCCGGCUAACUACGUGCCAGCAGCCGCGGUAAUACGUAGGGCGCAAGCGUUGUCCGGAAUUAUUGGGCGUAAAGAGCUCGUAGGUGGCUUGUCACGUCGGGUGUGAAAGCUUGGGCUUAACUCCAGGUCUGCAUUCGAUACGGGCUGGCUAGAGGUAGGUAGGGGAGAACGGAAUUCCUGGUGUAGCGGUGAAAUGCGCAGAUAUCAGGAGGAACACCGGUGGCGAAGGCGGUUCUCUGGGCCUUACCUGACGCUGAGGAGCGAAAGCGUGGGGAGCGAACAGGAUUAGAUACCCUGGUAGUCCACGCUGUAAACGUUGGGCGCUAGGUGUGGGGACCUUCCACGGUUUCCGCGCCGUAGCUAACGCAUUAAGCGCCCCGCCUGGGGAGUACGGCCGCAAGGCUAAAACUCGAAGGAAUUGACGGGGGCCCGCACAAGCGGCGGAGCAUGUUGCUUAAUUCGACGCAACGCGAAGAACCUUACCAAGGCUUGACAUUGCCCGGAAACACUCAGAGAUGGGUGCCUCUUCGGAUCGGGUGACAGGUGGUGCAUGGCUGUCGUCAGCUCGUGUCGUGAGAUGUUGGGUUAAGUCCCGCAACGAGCGCAACCCUUGUUCAAUGUUGCCAGCAACACCCUUCGGGGUGGUUGUGGACUCAUUGGAGACUGCCGGGGUCAACUCGGAGGAAGGUGGGGAUGACGUCAAGUCAUCAUGCCCCUUAUGUCUUGGGCUGCAAACAUGCUACAAUGGCCGGUACAGAGGGCUGCGAUACCGCAAGGUGGAGCGAAUCCCUAAAAGCCGGUCUCAGUUCGGAUUGGGGUCUGCAACUCGACCCCAUGAAGUCGGAGUCGCUAGUGAUCGCAGAUCAGCAACGCUGC
rnacentral:rRNA from 1 species